GUCGACGGCAGCACGGAGCUUGCUCUGGUGGCGAGUGGCGAACGGGUGUUUAAUAUAUCGGAACGUACCCUAGAGUGGGGGAUAACGUAUCGAAAGUUACGCUAAUACCGCAUACGAUCUAAGGAUGAAAGUGGGGGAUCGCAAGACCUCAUGCUCGUGGAGCGGCCGAUAUCUGAUUAGCUAGUUGGUAAGGUAAAAGCCUACCAAGGCAUCGAUCAGUAGCUGGUCUGAGAGGACGACCAGCCACACUGGAACUGAGACACGGUCCAGACUCCUACGGGAGGCAGCAGUGGGGAAUUUUGGACAAUGGGCGAAAGCCUGAUCCAGCAAUGCCGCGUGAGUGAAGAAGGCCUUCGGGUUGUAAAGCUCUUUUGUCAGGGAAGAAACGGUGAGAGCUAAUAUCUCUUGCUAAUGACGGUACCUGAAGAAUAAGCACCGGCUAACUACGUGCCAGCAGCCGCGGUAAUACGUAGGGUGCAAGCGUUAAUCGGAAUUACUGGGCGUAAAGCGUGCGCAGGCGGUUUUGUAAGUCUGAUGUGAAAUCCCCGGGCUCAA
rnacentral:rRNA from 1 species